GAAAUGCGAUAAGUAAUGUGAAUUGCAGAAUUCAGUGAAUCAUCGAAUCUUUGAACGUAGCUUGCGCUCCUUGGUAUUCCUUGGAGCAUGCCUGUUUGAGUAUCAUGAAAUCUUCAAAGUAAAUCUUUUGUUAACUCAAUUGGUUUCUACUUUGGUAUUGGAGGUCUUUGCAGCUUCACACCUGCUCCUCUUUGUUCAUUAGCUGGAUCUCAGUGUUAUGCUUGGUUCCACUCGGCGUGAUAAGUUAUCUAUCGCUGAGGACACUGUAAAAGGUGGCCAAGGUAAAUGCAGAUGAACCGCUUCUAAUAGUCCAUUGACUUGGACAAUACUUUUAUGAUCUGAUCUCAAAUCAGGUAGGACUACCCGCUGAACUUAAGC
rnacentral:misc_RNA from 1 species